GCUCUCUCUCUAGCGCGCGCGGAGAUCUUCGAAAGAAAACUAAACCCUAAAAUUACUCUGUAAAAUUGAGUUCGCGUUCUAACUUGUCGAAGUGACAGAGAAAAAUGCUGGAGCUUAGGCUGGUCCAAGGCGGUCUUCUAAAGAAGGUUCUGGAAUCAAUCAAGGACCUUGUCAAUGACGCCAACUUCGACUGCUCGCCUGCGGGGUUCUCACUUCAGGCCAUGGAUUCCAGCCACGUCGCCCUGGUGGCCCUCCUUCUCCGAUCCGAGGGCUUCGAGCACUACCGCUGCGACCGCAAUCUCUCCAUGGGCAUGAACCUCAACAACAUGGCCAAGAUGCUCAAGUGUGCUGGCAACGACGACAUCGUCACGAUCAAGGCAGAUGACGGCGCUGACUCUGUCACCUUUAUGUUCGAGAGCCCUACUCAAGAUAAGAUUUCUGACUUUGAGAUGAAGCUGAUGGACAUAGACAGUGAGCACCUUGGGAUCCCAGAAGCAGAGUUCCAAGCCAUUGUUAGGAUGCCAUCGGCUGAGUUUGCAAGGAUUUGCAAGGACCUUAGCACCAUUGGUGACACUGUUGUUAUAUCCGUGACAAAGGAAGGUGUGAAGUUCUCCACCAGAGGUGAUAUUGGGACUGCCAGUAUUGUUUGCAGGCAGAAUACUACUGUGGACAAGCCAGAAGAAGCUACAGUCAUAGAAAUGGAGGAGCCAGUCACAUUGACAUUUGCUCUGAGGUAUAUGAACUCAUUCACAAAGGCAACCCCUUUGGCAAACCAAGUGACAAUCAGCCUGUCUUCAGAUCUGCCUGGGGUAGUUGAGUACAAAGUGGCGGAGAUGGGUUACAUAAGGUUCUACUUGGCUCCCAAGUUAGAAGAAGACGAGAUCGAAACUCAAGUUGAAGCCAGGCCUCAAGUCGACAUCAGACCUAAAGCGGAAACCAAGCGCAAAGUGGAGGCCAAGCCUAAAGUAGAGACCAAACCUAAAUUGGAGAUCAAGUCCGAAGAGAGGGAGCCUCAAGUGGAAAGCAUGGUUGUGGAAACCAAGGUCGAAGCCGAUCUUAUGGAUGAUGAGUAGUUCAUCUGGUGUCAUUGCCUCUUAACAUCUAACGUAUCAAUGCCUGAACCUAAUUCAAUGUUCCCCUUUACUUUGACCCGGGCAUGCAUCUUAAAGUCCCAUGGCGUCCUUUGUUGACUUUUCCGGAGAGCAAAGGUCCAAUUACCGUCUUUGCAUCGCCAAAUCGAGCCGUGGACGGGGUUCUUAGUUAAUUUUCAUGUUGUAUACACACUUGUAUUUGAUAUCCUUUCAGCAAAAAUUCGAAAAUUUAACUCC